AGCCUCCAGGAAAACCAGUCUCUUAACCAAUCGCAUGUUCAGAUGCUUCCCACCAAGGUUUUCUGCAUCUGCAGCAUGAAGUUCUUGCACUUGCAGCCAGGAAGAACCCCUGUUCACAAGAGGUGGUGGAAAACUCAGGAUUCUCUGAUGCAGAGUUAUGUUUUCCUUGAUGGGCUCCAGUGUGAAGGGUUUCAGACACGGCGAGGAAUGAAUGAGUUGAAAGCAGAAGAUGUCAUGCAAUGGGUAAAUGACGAGGGGGAAAAAUUUAAUGCUCAGAAUCACAGGAAAUGAAAACCACCUCCGUUCAUCUGCAAACAACAAAUAACUUGCACUCCAGCAAGCAGUUUGUCUCAUAUGCUAGUUCACACCUGCAGCAGGGGCAAGAAGGGAAAGUACCAAACCCCAUUAUCCUCAGAGUAAGAGAUCAGAGGAAAGCAGAAAUUAUACAAUUUCCAUAUAGACGAAGCAGCGGAAUGCGAUUUUGGCCAUCUUACAACAGACUCCUGAGCUCUGAAAAAUGCUGUGAAAGCUGUCAGCUGGGCUACAAAAUGCAUAACCUAGUAAGUCAGUAAAGACUGUGCACAAAGGGAUGGAGAAAAGCGUCGAAGAAGAAAAGCCCAUCGCUGGACAGGCACUGCCAUGCAACGCCACGUGCCAAGAACAAGAAGAGAAGAAAGAUCCCAACAGAGCAGAGCUGGUGCCUGGGCUUGGCAAGGCUCAAGGUCACAUCAUCAGCAAGACCUGGCUGCAGAGCUUCUUCUCCACUCAGGCAAUCCCAACUGGAUUUAAUCUGUGCAGGCUUUGCUCCGUUGUUGGCCCAAGCAUCUUCCUCUGGGCCAACAACGAUCUUAGAUCAACGAUUUUAGAUCUGUCUUGGUAUUUUGAGCGUGCAAGCUUCCUAACUUUGAACAGGCUCUGAACAUAGGAAGCAGCCACCUUUAAGUGUUGCUCAUUUGGGUCAGGGCCGUCUCCUGCUGUACACACAUCAUGUUUCUGUGCACACUGUGCUGGUUUAAUAACAGCAGGAAGAGAAGUGCCACAAGAAUCAUCUUGAUUUUUAUACAUUGUUUUGCACAGAUAUCUGUUUUAUUUAUGGAUUGCCAAGGACAUAAAUACGUGGAGAAGCACAGAUACGCUUUUCAGCCUUUAAUCUGUCCUGCCGUGGAUGUUAUGGGCUUUGACUGGACCAAUUCUCUUCCCCAAACAGCCAAGUUGCUCAGAUGAAUAAGGUCAUCUGCACACUUAAAUGACUGCCACGUUGGGCCUUGUGCGUUCAGCAUGGGGACUGGCAUUAAAUGGUAUUUCCUUACCCCCCCCUCCCCCCCAAAAAAAAGAAAAAGAAAAAAAGAAACUCACCAAAAAAAAUGUAGAAGGUGGAGAAGAAAUCUCAGAAUCUUACUCAGGAAUGAAGAGCAAAGAGUUUGCGGCCAACCCAGAUGUGAUGGCACCCUGGGAGGGAUGAGAAGCCCGCUGUUUCAGGAGGGCCACUAAAUAAUUCUUCAAACCUUUUGUUAAUGAGAAGAAGCAGAGCGGCCUCUGCCACAGCCUCCAUCUGUUUCCUUGGGCAAACCAUUUAUUGAAACCCUCUGUACUCCAACCUCUUCUUCUGCUCCCUCUCAUCUCCGGUCUUGGCUAUUUGACACCUUGGGGCACAGCAGGCUUUUGCUAUUUCUAUGCAGAGUGACUUCUGCCACGAUUACUGUCAUGUAGACAGCAGAGUAGGACAGAUCCCAGCUCCAUGAGCAUGCCUGUGUUUUCCCUUGGGGGUCAAGCCUUUGAAGCAGCCCCUCUCAAUUCACCUGAGCCAGUUAAGGAAAGGAAAUUGUGGAUUUGUAGAAUAUUCAGAGUUGGAAGGGAACCUCAGGGCUCGCCGAGUUCAACCCCUGGCUCCAUACAGGCCACCCAUAACUCCGACCCUACAUUGGAGAUGUGUCCAAAUGCUCCUUGAACUCCAGCAGAUCGGGGCUGUGCCCACUGUCCUUGUUCCAUGCCCACCACCCUCUGGGCCAGAGCGUUUUCCUUUUAUUCAACCUGAAAUGUACAUGGCUUGGCAUGUUGUCCUUCCUAUGUGUCCUGUAAGGAUGUGCCAUAGGUGUCUGGUUGUCUCUGGAUGCAUUUCAUGCUCAUCUCAUCUCUCCAGCUCCUCCCGGUGCUAUUGUGCUUUCUGACCCUCUUGAAGACUCAGCUUUCAAGGACCUUUGUUCCCCACCAAAGAUCUGCUUAAGGGCUGCCACUGGCUCUGCAUACACAAACUCGUGCUGUCCCCCAAGGUGGUCUGUCCACUGGGCUUCCUAACCUGUGAGGGCACUCUGAGUGCUCCAAAGCCUCCAUCAGUGAUGCUGUAAGAGUCACAGGGAUUGUCCACCCUGAUUCCUGCACUCCCAAGUGUUGAGGAACUGAGGACCCACAAGUGGAAGCAACCUUCUGACCUGCUGGAUCACCUCCACACCUUGCAGUGCAGCCUGAGCACAUGGGACAUGGUGAGGGAUGUGUCUUUUAUAAUGUUGUGAAGUCUGUAAUGUUAUCAUUGUUCAUUCUUCUCUCAGCUUGUCCUUGCUGCCUUCUAGCCCCAGAUCCCGGUGUCGUCUGACUACUCCAAACUCAAUGCUCUUUGAUGGAGAAACUAGAAAACCCAGAACUCUACUCAUUUAAAACCUAGGAGGAAAGUGAAUUACAUUUCAAAGUUGGGGUGAUCUCAUUGCCUUUAGAGGUGAACAGGGUACUUGUUUAUGUCUGAACUCUUUGCUUAGGCUCAUGUUAGAGUCUACAGAGACAAAUGGACAUUUCUGACUCGCAGUCCACUCUGAAUCAAGUAAUGAAAUGUAAUGAAAACUUCACUGGUGCUUUCUGUGGUCUACCAGCAAUCGUUGUUUUAUGAAGACCCACAGGUGGAUGAGAAUGGACCAGAAAAGGAGAGGAGGGAUACGGGGUGUGAGAGAUGGCCCAGAGCUGAGGUUGGGCACAUGGUGUUGUGAUGUUCAGACUUUGGUAAUCUGAGAGCAGCCACAGGGUGCUGCCUGGUACUCAGUGAGGUGCUGAUGGACAGGAAAAAGAAAAAUGCUCCUUGAACCUCUUGACCUGAGCAAUGUGAAAGGCAAGGCACACAGCCUUGUUUUAUGAAUGCUCCCACAGCUCAAAACUUGUUGGUGGGUAGUAGUAUUAAUGUUGCUCAGGGCUAGGAGAAAAAAAAAUCAUUCUGAAGUGUAUGUUCAGAGAUAUUCCUUUUUUUU